rnacentral:rRNA from 1 species
UACGAAGGGGGCUAGCGUUGUUCGGAAUCACUGGGCGUAAAGCGCACGUAGGCGGAUGUGCCAGUCAGGGGUGAAAUCCUGGAGCUCAACUCCAGAACUGCCUUUGAUACUGGCGAUCUUGAGUCCGGAAGAGGUGAGUGGAACUCCUAGUGUAGAGGUGGAAUUCGUAGAUAUUAGGAAGAACACCAGUGGCGAAGGCGGCUCACUGGUCCGGUACUGACGCUGAGGUGCGAAAGCGUGGGGAGCAAACAGGG